rnacentral:rRNA from 1 species
UGGGGAAUAUUGCACAAUGGGCGAAAGCCUGAUGCAGCGACGCCGCGUGAGGGAUGACGGCCUUCGGGUUGUAAACCUCUUUCAGUAGGGACGAAGCGCAAGUGACGGUACCUGCAGAAGAAGCACCGGCUAACUACGUGCCAGCAGCCGCGGUAAUACGUAGGGUGCGAGCGUUGUCCGGAAUUACUGGGCGUAAAGAGCUCGUAGGCGGUUUGUCACGUCGUCUGUGAAAUCCUAGGGCUUAACCCUGGACGUGCAGGCGAUACGGGCUGACUUGAGGACUACAGGCGAGACUGGAAUUUCUGGUGUAGCGGUGGAAUGCACAGAUAUCAGGAAGAACACCGAUGGCGAAGGCAGGUCUCUGGGUAGUAACUGACGCUGAGGAGCGAAAGCAUGGGUAGCGAACAGG